rnacentral:rRNA from 1 species
UGGGGAAUAUUGCACAAUGGGCGAAAGCCUGAUGCAGCAACGCCGCGUGAGGGAAGACGGUUUUCGGAUUGUAAACCUCUGUUUUCGGUGACGAACAAAUGACGGUAACCGAGUAGGAAGCCACGGCUAACUACGUGCCAGCAGCCGCGGUAAUACGUAGGGAGCGAGCGUUGUCCGGAAUUACUGGGUGUAAAGGGUGCGUAGGCGGGGGACCAAGUCAGGUGUGAAAACUAUCGGCUUAACCGGUAGCCUGCACUUGAAACUGGCCCUCUUGAGUGAAGUAGAGGCAGGCGGAAUUCCCGGUGUAGCGGUGAAAUGCGUAGAGAUCGGGAGGAACACCGGUGGCGAAGGCGGCCUGCUGGGCUUUAACUGACGCUGAGGCACGAAAGCAUGGGUAGCAAACAGGAUUAGAUACCCUGGUAGU